UCAUACGAGGUACUUCAGUCUUUCUG
rnacentral:piRNA from 1 species